UCUGGCCACUCAGUGUAUACUAACAUUGGAAUGAUACAGAGAAGAUUAGCGUGGCCCCUGCAUAAGGAUGACACACAAAUUCGUGAAGCGUUCCAUAUUUUU
rfam:Myotis brandtii contig217562, whole genome shotgun sequence.